CCACUAUCACUAGCAGGUCUAGUUGACUGAGUGGAUACAUCUCCACGUGUGGAGGUUCUGGCUCCACCACUAUCACUAGCAGGUCUAGUUGACUGAGUGGAUACAUCUCCACGUGUGGAGGUUCUGGCUCCACCACUAUCACUAGCAGGUCUACUUGACUGAGUGGAUACAUCUCCACGUGUGGAGGUUCUGGCUCCACCACUAUCACUAGCAGGUCUAGUUGACUGAGUGGAUACAUCUCCACGUGUGGAGGUUCUGGCUCCACCACUAUCACUAGUAGGUCUAGUUGACUGAGUGGAUACAUCUCCACGUGUGGAGGUUCUGGCUCCACCACUAUCACUAGCAGGUCUAGUUGACUGAGUGGAUACAUCUCCACCACUAUCACUAGCAGGUCUAGUUGACUGAGUGGAUACAUCUCCACCACUAUCACUAGCAGGUCUAGUUGACUGAGUGGAUACAUCUCCACCACUAUCACUAGCAGGUCUAGUUGACUGAGUGGAUACAUCUCCACCACUAUCACUAGCAGGUCUAGUUGACUGAGUGGAUACAUCUCCACCACUAUCACUAGCAGGUCUAGUUGACUGAGUGGAUAGAUCUCCACCACUACCACUAGCAGGUCUAGUUGACUGAGUGGAUACAUCUCCACGUGUGGAGGUUCUGGCUCCACCACUAUCACUAGUAGGUCUAGUUGACUGAGUGGAUACAUCUCCACGUGUGGAGGUGCUGGCUUCAGCACUAUCACUAGCAGGUCUAGUUGACUGAGUGGAUACAUCUCCACGUGUGGAGGUUCUGGCUCCACCACUAUCACUAGCAGGUCUACUUGACUGAGUGGAUACAUCUCCACGUGUGGAGGUUCUGGCUCCACCACUAUCACUAGUAGGUCUACUUG